UUGCCCCUAUGUAUUGCCAGUAUGGCUGUGUGUCACAUGAGUCAGUAGGUGGUAUAGAGGACAGUGGUUAUGUCUCUGCUCGGUGUUCUGACUUGUGAACAUCAAGAAAGAUUAGUAGCUUAACGUUUCCUGAAG
ensembl:snoRNA small nucleolar RNA SNORA17